rnacentral:rRNA from 1 species
ACUCCUACGGGAGGCAGCAGUGGGGAAUUUUGGACAAUGGGCGAAAGCCUGAUCCAGCAAUGCCGCGUGAGUGAAGAAGGCCUUCGGGUUGUAAAGCUCUUUUGUCAGGGAAGAAACGGUGAAAGCUAAUAUCUUUUGCUAAUGACGGUACCUGAAGAAUAAGCACCGGCUAACUACGUG